rnacentral:lncRNA from 1 species
CAAGAUGAUUGAUAACUUAAACUGAAUUCUCUCAUGACCCCUAAUGAGCAAUUGAACUUCUACGGGUCUGAAUUGAUCAUCAAUAAUGUGACUGGAAGGCUGAAUACAUUUGGUAUAGAUACUUAAGAAUAAUGCUCUAUAAUAUCAGUUUAACUUACUGAUAUCGAGGAAUUUAGAAAAGUUUGCAACUCGAUAGAGUUCUUACAUUAAUGUACUGAUGGGUCUUAAGGCAUUGGAAGAGCUUAUCUGUCUCUAUCAAAAUUAGUUAGGCUCGGGAGAAUACAUUGUUCAUAACUUUCUAAGGCUUACUGAUUACGGAUUAAGCAUCCCUCAAUUCAAUGAAUUUGGAUGAGUAAGGGUCCACAUGAAUGGAUUAGUAAUUGAGAAUCCGGUUUCUACUAAUCCCAACUCAAACUUCAUAAUUUCUUUCUACCGGCAGUCCUCUUGAAUUAGCAAAACUUGGUUCUACAUGCUUCUUAUAACUAGGUUCACGAGAGUGUCUCGUCACUCCUAGAUUUUGGAAAGGUUCAUAUUACACCUAAAUGUCGGUUGGAUACCAUUUGCAUACUACACUAUUCAUUUAAACUGUGCUCAGUUCUCACAAUUACAUCAUCUGUCUCAUUGCAC